rnacentral:rRNA from 1 species
AGAGUUUGAUCAUGGCUCAGAACGAACGCUGGCGGCAGGCCUAACACAUGCAAGUCGAGCGCCCGCAAGGGGAGCGGCGGACGGGUGAGUAACGCGUGGGAACGUGCCUCUUGCUAUGGAAUAGCCUCGGGAAACUGGGAGUAAUACCGUAUGUGCCCUACGGGGAAAGAUUUAUCGGCAAGAGAUCGGCCCGCGUUGGAUUAGGUAGUUGGUGGGGUAAUGGCCUACCAAGCCGACGAUCCAUAGCUGGUUUGAGAGGAUGAUCAGCCACACUGGGACUGAGACACGGCCCAGACUCCUACGGGAGGCAGCAGUGGGGAAUCUUAGACAAUGGGCGCAAGCCUGAUCUAGCCAUGCCGCGUGAGCGAUGAAGGCCUUAGGGUUGUAAAGCUCUUUCAGUGGGAAGAUAAUGACUGUACCCACAGAAGAAGCCCCGGCUAACUCCGUG